rnacentral:tRNA from 1 species
CCCGCGGUAGCUCAACGGUAGAGCGUACGGCUGUAGACCGUAGUGUUGGGAGUUCGAUUCUCUCUCGCGGGA